GCACAUGGUCCUGUUCGUACUCCAGGAUGGCGGCGUAAAGGGCCCGCUGCUCCCGUUCCUCCGGGGUCAGGGCGACUUGGCUGCAAAACCUCCUGGGGAGAAAGGCACGCGGUGGGUGCCGGGGCCAGGCCCUCCCCGCAGCGGCCCCAGGGGCGGGCAGGAGUCCCACCUGUUGGCGGCCUCCUGGAGCCGCAGCCGGCGCUCCUCCAUCUUUCUCUGGAGCUGGGUGCAGAGUCAAGGGGCCGAGCGUGGGAUCUGAGCGGGCCCUCGGUUCCCAACCCCGUCCCACACCCGGAGAGGCCGGGACGUCCCAGGGACCUCCUCUCGGUGAGGGGCUGUCCCCAGCUUCUGAUUCUGCAGGGAGGCCUCCUCCAGUGGCGUCAGCUCUCUGGAAAUGUGACAAGCUGCUGUCUAGACCCCAGGAAGCCCAGUGGUGUCUGGACACCAGAGGAGUCUCUCUCAUCCUCCCGGAUUGCUCUGAGGCCAGGAGCUUUGUGACUCUGCCCCCUGAAGCUUCUGGAAGAUCUCGGGUGGCAGAAAAGGAGAGAGCUUUCCUCCUUCAUCGGAGUAUACACGGCGGUGUCGGCCGGCAGGCUGGGGAAUGGGAGCAGCUGCAGGCAUGGUUGGCUUCAGGCGUGUUUUCCCUGCAAGCCAUGGGCCUCUGGGAAGUGGCCGUUUUACAGAGACAAGGACGUGCUGAGGGGAUCGCCUCACCCAUCUCCCACCGGCUGUGUCCCCAAAGUCCUGCCUUCCCGUAGCUUGGCAUGGAGCACCUCUGCGCGACCAUGGACCUGCUCACACAGCCCUUCUGCGCGCCGUGGGAGCUGCCUCUCUGUGACUCGCCCCUGGACCCACCGCCCCAGCGCCUGACCCACCUCCCUGCUGCCCUUCACAGAAAACUUCUCAUAGACUCCCAUUUUCUCAUCCCGCCCCGAUUUAGCCCCCGACUCCCCCCGGAAACUGCCCUUACCCGUCCCCACCUUGCCAGACACGGUGGGCCACUGGAGUUCCUCUGUCUUCUGGGACUUUGCUCUCCCCAGGGGAUCCUCUGCCACUCCUCCACCCAACUCCUCAAUCUUGGAGCGCCAGAGCUCAGCCGAGCUCACCGGCUCCCUAGGGAGCUGGGGCAACUGUUAGCUCCCCCUGACCUGUGUGAUCCUACGUCCAG
rnacentral:lncRNA from 1 species